rnacentral:rRNA from 1 species
AACGAACGCUGGCGGCAGGCCUAACACAUGCAAGUCGAACGCUGUAGCAAUACAGAGUGGCAGACGGGUGAGUAACGCGUGGGAACCUUCCCAAUGGUGCGGAAUAGCCCAGGGAAACUUGGGGUAAUACCGCAUAAGCCCUUAGGGGGAAAGAUUUAUCGCCAUUGGAUGGGCCCGCGUCGGAUUAGCUAGUUGGUGAGGUAAUGGCUCACCAAGGCAACGAUCCGUAGCUGGUUUGAGAGAAUGACCAGCCACACUGGGACUGAGACACGGCCCAGACUCCUACGGGAGGCAGCAGUGGGGAAUCUUGGACAAUGGGCGCAAGCCUGAUCCAGCCAUGCCGCGUGAGUGGCGAAGGCCUUAGGGUUGUAAAGCUCUUUUGCCGGGGACGAUAAUGACGGUACCCGGAGAAUAAGUCCCGGCUAACUUCGUGCCAGCCGCCGCCGUAA